rnacentral:rRNA from 1 species
CAGUAGCCGCGGUAAUACGUAGGUGGCAAGCGUUGUCCGGAAUUAUUGGGCGUAAAGGGCUCGCAGGCGGUUUCUUAAGUCUGAUGUGAAAGCCCUCGGCUCAACCGGGGAGGGUCAUUGGAAACUGGGAAACUUGAGUGCAGAAGAGGAGAGUGGAAUUCCACGUGUAGCGGUGAAAUGCGUAGAGAUGUGGAGGAACACCAGUGGCGAAGGCGACUCUCUGGUCUGUAACUGACGCUGAGGAGCGAAAGCGUGGGGAGCGAACAGGAUUAGAUACCCCGGUAGUCCCUGUCUCUUAUAC